AACAAGCAAUCAAUAGGAAGAAUUUGGAAAUCAUGAUGCACUUGUUUUGAAAACAAUGCAAUUUGGUUUAAUUUCUUUCUUAAACCCCCUUGUUUUGGACAUUGAUCAGUGGACUCUUAGUAUUGCAAAGACCCAUGCUCAAUCAUGAAGAUAAGGGAGUGAAGGAAAUUAUAUCAGAACCCGAGCAAGGUAGCAACGUG
rnacentral:lncRNA from 1 species